rnacentral:lncRNA from 1 species
CGAGCAGUCGUAAACCUUUUCACACAUUGGCUAGUAUCGAUUGGUGAGUUGGAUGUCGCAGGUCACGUAAGCUUUACAAUGUUGUCCCGGAAAAUCAACUUGAUUUGAUGACCGAUAUUCAAACAGAUCAUAAAGUGCCCGAAUUUUAUUUGCUAUAAAAGUUUCAUGACAAUCUUCAAAAUUUGAUGGAUCAUCUUCGUUAGGUUUCAGCUAACUUGAAAAUUUCACAGGUAAUAACAUCACAAAUCAUGCAAAGUCAAGGAUAACGUAGGCUUGAUAACUUCGUCACUGGGCCCUACGAAGAUAAUACCUGAAAAGAAGACUGGAAAUGAUCAACACAAAAUUGUACACGUAAUCAGUGAUGUGAUAGAUCGAAGGACUCGAUGAAGUGUGCUUUAUUAAAACCAUUUCAGCACUCCUAACAAAAUAAUAUCAACAGACUUAUGGAUCGGGGAGUGCAGAAUAAAGGAAUUAAUAAAGCGAAAAAUGAUGAUGAAUGAAUUACAAUAUAGAAUUUUUCGAGGAACUAUAUUCGCAAGUAAUUAGAGUGCGUAUGUGUCAUUUAAUAAUUAUCAUCUAUCACGUAUUUAAUAUGAACAUCUAUUUACCUUGCAGAUAACAUUAUUUUCUAUACAUUGGUUUGUCAUUUUUAUUCAAUUCUUAAUAUUUCAUGGACACAGUUAGUUGAUUAAAAUCACUAAUUUUCUUUCGUUCACUCGUUUUUUCUCUUUCUCAAUAUAACAUGUGAUGUAUAUUAGUAAUUACAUUUUUCGAUAAAUUAUAUAAUAUGUAUAUAUGCAUGAUUUAUAUUUAUAUAUAUGUAUCUAACGAAAUUUUGCAACUAUGACAGUACAAUUUUUAUAUAUAUAUGUAUGUAUAUAAUAACGAUAGUAUAGUACGUAUGACCAUCAUUACAUCAUGACGCGAAGGAGGGAUUGAUUUUCUCGUUUCGUUUACUAAGAUGAAAAUUACGGAAAAAUACAAAUUCUCUUCGACGUUAAUAAAUAAUUCACUGCUACACGAAGAGCAUCCAGAUGAUGGAAUUCUAUGUUAUUCGACGAGUUAUAAAAAUGUUUCAAGUGCAUCUACGACG